AGUGAACGCUGGCGGUAGGCCUAACACAUGCAAGUCGAACGGCAGCACAGUAAGAGCUUGCUCUUACGGGUGGCGAGUGGCGGACGGGUGAGGAAUACAUCGGAAUCUACUUUUUCGUGGGGGAUAACGUAGGGAAACUUACGCUAAUACCGCAUACGACCUACGGGUGAAAGCAGGGGAUCUUCGGACCUUGCGCGAUUGAAUGAGCCGAUGUCGGAUUAGCUAGUUGGCGGGGUAAAGGCCCACCAAGGCGACGAUCCGUAGCUGGUCUGAGAGGAUGAUCAGCCACACUGGAACUGAGACACGGUCCAGACUCCUACGGGAGGCAGCAGUGGGGAAUAUUGGACAAUGGGCGCAAGCCUGAUCCAGCCAUACCGCGUGGGUGAAGAAGGCCUUAGGGUUGUAAAGCCCUUUUGUUGGGAAAGAAAAGCAGCAGGUUAAUACCCCGCUGUUCUGACGGUACCCAAAGAAUAAGCACCGGCUAACUUCGUG
rnacentral:rRNA from 1 species